AAUACAAUUGCAGGAUCAUAUGGUAAAAUAGUGUUUAAAUUUAUAAGAAGCUAUCAAACUGUCUUCCAAAGUGACUAUGUCAUUUUCAUUUUCUAAUAGCAAU
rnacentral:pre_miRNA from 1 species